rnacentral:rRNA from 1 species
AUACGAACUGUGCAAACGUUAUUCGGAAUCACUGGGCUUAAAGGGUGCGUAGGCGGACUUGAAGGUCCGAUGUGAAAUCCCACGGCUCAACCGUGGAAUUGCGUCGGAAACCACAAGUCUUGAGGGAGUCAGAGGUAAGCGGAACUGAUGGUGGAGCGGUGAAACGCGUUGAUAUCAUCAGGAACACCGGUGGCGAAAGCGGCUUACUGGGACUUUUCUGACGCUGAGGCACGAAAGCUAGGGGAGCGAACGGGAUUAGAAACCCUAGUAGUCC